AACGAACGCUGGCGGCAGGCUUAACACAUGCAAGUCGAACGCACCUUUCGGGGUGAGUGGCAGACGGGUGAGUAACACGUGGGAACGUACCCUUUUGUUCGGAAUAACCCAGGGAAACUAGGGCUAAUACCGGAAACGCCCUAACGGGGACAGGUUUACUGCAGGAGGAACGGCCCGCGGCCGAUUAGCUAGUUGGUUGGGGUGAUGGCUCACCAAGGCGACGAGCGGUAGCUGGUCUGAGAGGAUGGCCAGCCACAUUGGGGCUGAGACACGGGCCAAACUGCGACGGGAGGGAGCAGUGGGAAAUAUUGGACAAUGGGGGCAAGCCUGGUCCAGCCAUGGCGCGAGAGUGGUGACGGCCUUAGGGUUGUAAAGCUCUAUUACCUGGGAAGAUAAUGACAGUACCAGGAGAAUAAGCCCCGGCUAACUUCGUGCCAGCCGCCGCGGUAACAC
rnacentral:rRNA from 1 species